rnacentral:lncRNA from 7 species
UAGAGAGCAACUUGGCAGAGCAGCACGCAGAGUAGGCAAGUGUUGGGGUUUGGCGUGAGUAGCAGCAAAAGCCCAUAGCAUCAAGGAGCAGGAAGUGAGGAGAAGGUAAGUGAAGGGCAGGCAAGGUACUGGGAGGCAAAGGCAAGGGGAAAGGGGAGGGUAAGGGAGAAAAGAGGGGAUGGGGAGGGGAGGGGAUGGGUGAAGAGCAGAGCGGAGGGGAGGGCUGAAGGCAAACCUAUGAUGAAAAAAGAAAAGAAAAAAUAAGAACAAAAAAUAUGAAAAAAGAGAAAAAAGAAAGAAAAAUAAAGAAUAAAGAGAAAAAAAUG